GUGCACAUCAAGGUUUUGACCAAUUCUGCAGAAGACUUGAAACGCUUGGCGUAUUAGGAGCGCUAAAACAUCAUGGAACACGCAUGAAAGAAGUUUUUGUAUAUGAAAAAAGGCUUCUGGAUUCUACAACAAUAGAACUAUUGUUCGAGCCAGAUUUAGCAGAGGCCAACUCCAACCGACGCCGCCAAGAAGAGAUUGUUCUCUCAAACUGGAGAGAUUUUCUUCUUGAUUUGGAAGAAGGUACGGAAGUCCCCACACUCAAAGACCUCUUGGUGUUUGUGACCGGGGCUGACGGAAUCCCGCCUCUGGGAUUCGACCCCUCUCCACACCUGCUGUUUCACUC